rnacentral:rRNA from 1 species
CCUACGGGUGGCAGCAGUGGGGAAUAUUGCACAAUGGGGGAAACCCUGAUGCAGCGACGCCGCGUGAGUGAAGAAGUAAUUAGUUACGUAAAGCUCUAUCAGCAGGGAAGAAACACUGACCUUACGGUCAGCAGACGGUACCUGAGUAAGAAGCCCCGUCUAACUACGUGCCAGCAGCCGCGGUAAUACGAAGGGGGCAAGCGUUAUCCGGAUUUACUGGGUGUAAAGGGAGCGUAGACGGUGCGCCAAGUCUGGAGGGAAAUGCCGAAGCUUAACUGCGGAACUGCUGUGGAAACUGGCGAACUAGAGUGCGGGAGGGGUAAGCGGAAUUCCUAGUGUAGCGGUGAAAUGCGUAGAUAUUAGGAGGAACACCGGUGGCGAAGGCGGCUUACUGGACCGUAACUGACGUUGAGGCUCGAAAGCGUGGGGAGCAAACAGGAUUAGAUACCCGGGUAGUC